rnacentral:rRNA from 2 species
UGGGGAAUAUUGGACAAUGGACCGCAAGUCUGAUCCAGCAAUUCUGUGUGCACGAUGACGUUUUUCGGAAUGUAAAGUGCUUUCAGUCGGGAAGAAGUCAGUGACGGUACCGACAGAAGAAGCGACGGCUAAAUACGUGCCAGCAGCCGCGGUAAUACGUAUGUCGCAAGCGUUAUCCGGAUUUAUUGGGCGUAAAGCGCGUCUAGGCGGCAAGGAAAGUCUGAUGUGAAAAUGCGGAGCUCAACUCCGUAUGGCGUUGGAAACUGCCUUACUAGAGUACUGGAGAGGUAGGCGGAACUACAAGUGUAGAGGUGAAAUUCGUAGAUAUUUGUAGGAAUGCCGAUGGGGAAGCCAGCCUACUGGACAGAUACUGACGCUAAAGCGCGAAAGCGUGGGUAGCAAACAGGAUUAGAUACCCUGGUAGUCCACGCUGUAAACGAUGAUUACUAGGUGUUGGGGGUCAAACCUCAGCGCCCAAGCUAACGCGAUAAGUAAUCCGCCUGGGGAGUACGUACGCAAGUAUG